UGCCCAGCAACUCCUAUCCCUACCUCCUCGCGGUACUGGCCGGGGUAAGAGUAACCUUAGGGAAGAUCGGGUAUAAUCAAACCCUGGUGGGAACUUUGGUCGUAUGCUGACAGAGAAGG
rnacentral:ribozyme from 1 species